rnacentral:tRNA from 1 species
GCGGUGGUAGUUCAACGGCAGAACGGCUAUCCUCCCGAUAGCAAACGGCGGUUCAACCCCGACCUCACCGCUCCA